rnacentral:rRNA from 1 species
CUUGCUUCUCUUGAGAGCGGCGGACGGGUGAGUAAUGCCUAGGAAUCUGCCUGGUAGUGGGGGAUAACGUUCGGAAACGGACGCUAAUACCGCAUACGUCCUACGGGAGAAAGCAGGGGACCUUCGGGCCUUGCGCUAUCAGAUGAGCCUAGGUCGGAUUAGCUAGUUGGUGGGGUAAUGGCUCACCAAGGCGACGAUCCGUAACUGGUCUGAGAGGGUGAUCAGUCACACUGGAACUGAGACACGGUCCAGACUCCUACGGGAGGCAGCAGUGGGGAAUAUUGGACAAUGGGCGAAAGCCUGAUCCAGCCAUGCCGCGUGUGUGAAGAAGGUCUUCGGAUUGUAAAGCACUUUAAGUUGGGAGGAAGGGUUGUAGAUUAAUACUCUGCAAUUUUGACGUUACCGACAGAAUAAGCACCGGCUAACUCUGUGCCAGCAGCCGCGGUAAUACAGAGGGUGCAAGCGUUAAUCGGAAUUACUGGGCGUAAAGCGCGCGUAGGUGGUUUGUUAAGUUGGAUGUGAAAUCCCCGGGCUCAACCUGGGAACUGCAUUCAAAACUGACUGACUAGAGUAUGGUAGAGGGUGGUGGAAUUUCCUGUGUAGCGGUGAAAUGCGUAGAUAUAGGAAGGAACACCAGUGGCGAAGGCGACCACCUGGACUAAUACUGACACUGAGGUGCGAAAGCGUGGGGGAGCAAACAGGAUUAGAUACCCUGGUAGUCCACGCCGUAAACGAUGUCAACUAGCCGUUGGAAGCCUUGAGCUUUUAGUGGCGCAGCUAACGCAUUAAAGUGACGCCUGGGG